UACAGAGGUGGCAAGCGUUGUUCGGAAUUACUGGGCGUAAAGGGCGCGUAGGCGGCCAUCUAAGUCAGACGUGAAAUCCCCCGGCUUAACCUGGGAACUGCGUCUGAUACUGGACGGCUUGAGUACGGGAGAGGGAUGUAGAAUUCCAGGUGUAGCGGUGAAAUGCGUAGAUAUCUGGAGGAAUACCGGUGGCGAAGGCGGCAUCCUGGACCAUUACUGACGCUGAGGCGCGAAAGCUAGGGGAGCAAACGGG
rnacentral:rRNA from 1 species